CUUAUCUACUAAGAUCGAUCAAUCCCUUCUAAGUAUAUACCCUACUCCUACAGUGAACCUACUACAGUCAAUAUACACGAUAAGGAUCCAAAUGGCUAAAAGAUCAUAUUUAUGUGCAGUCAAACUAUAGCAAUCUACUAUGGACAACCCAGACAUUGCAAGUCAAGGAGCCACUCACACCACUACAGCAUCGAGACGAUCAUCAAUGAGUAAGUAGACAUCUAUGUGAUCUCUCGUAUGGUCACGUUCAGUACCGAUAUUCUCUAACAACCAUCCACA
rnacentral:lncRNA from 1 species